rnacentral:rRNA from 1 species
UGGGGAAUUUUGGACAAUGGGCGAAAGCCUGAUCCAGCAAUGCCGCGUGUGUGAAGAAGGCCUUCGGGUUGUAAAGCACUUUUGUCCGGAAAGAAAUCCUUGGCUCUAAUACAGUCGGGGGAUGACGGUACCGGAAGAAUAAGCACCGGCUAACUACGUGCCAGCAGCCGCGGUAAUACGUAGGGUGCAAGCGUUAAUCGGAAUUACUGGGCGUAAAGCGUGCGCAGGCGGUUUGCUAAGACCGAUGUGAAAUCCCCGGGCUCAACCUGGGAACUGCAUUGGUGACUGGCAGGCUAGAGUAUGGCAGAGGGGGGUAGAAUUCCACGUGUAGCAGUGAAAUGCGUAGAGAUGUGGAGGAAUACCGAUGGCGAAGGCAGCCCCCUGGGCCAAUACUGACGCUCAUGCACGAAAGCGUGGGGGAGCAAAACAGGAUUAGAUACCCUGGUAGUCCACGCCCUAAAACGAUGUCAACUAGUUGUUGGGGAUUCAUUUCCUUAGUAACGUAGCUAACGCGUGAAGUUGACCGCCUGGGGAGUACGGUCGCAAGAUUAAAACUUAAAUGAAUUGACGGGGUCAUAGCUG